UGGAAGGGUUUUUGUAAAUCUCACUUGAGA
rnacentral:piRNA from 1 species